rnacentral:misc_RNA from 1 species
GAAAUGCGAUAAGUAGUGUGAAUUGCAGAAUUCAGUGAAUCAUCGAAUCUUUGAACGCACAUUGCGCCCUUUGGUAUUCCAAAGGGCAUGCCUGUUCGAGCGUCAUUUGUACCCUCAAGCUUUGCUUGGUGUUGGGCGUCUUGUCUCUAGCUUUGCUGGAGACUCGCCUUAAAGUAAUUGGCAGCCGGCCUACUGGUUUCGGAGCGCAGCUCAAGUCGCACUCUCUAUCAGCAAAGGUCUAGCAUCCAUUAAGCCUUUUUUCAACUUUUGACCUCGGAUCAGGUAGGGAUACCCGCUGAACUUAAGC